rnacentral:rRNA from 1 species
AUUGAACGCUAGCGGGAUGCUUUACACAUGCAAGUCGAACGGAGUGGCGGACGGGUGAGUAAUAUAUUGGAACGUGCCUAGUAGCGGGGGCUAACUACUCGAAAGAGUGGCUAAUACCGCAUACUAUUGGAGCGGCUGAUAUCGGAUUAGCUAGUCGGUGGGGUACAGGCUCACCAAGGCAACGAUCCGUAGCUGGUCUGAGAGGACGACCAGCCACACUGGGACUGAGGCACGGCCCAGACUCCUACGGGAGGCAGCAGUGGGGAAUUUUGGACGAUGGGGGAAACCCUGAUCCAGCCAUCCCGCGUGUAUGAUGAAGGCCUUCGGGUUGUAAAGUACUUUAGGCAGAGAAGCGGUAUCUGCAGAAUAAGCACCGGCUAACUACGUGCCAGCCGCCGCGGUAAUAC